GUGAAGUCAAUCCAGAAACCUCCAGAGAGCAAUCUGAUUGGAUUCCAUCAUUUCAGAGCUAUGAAGACUUCAAGUGUAAGACACUGCAAUCAUUAGAUGGCUUUAUGAUAAUACUGAGCGCAGAUGGAGUGAUAAUUUUUGUCGCUGGAAACAUCACUUGUCUCCUUGGCCAUUUACCAAAUGAUAUCGUAGGUAAAAAGUUACUAAGUCUUCUGCCUGAUCAUGAGAAAAACGAUGUCUAUCGAAAGAUUGCUCUCAAACUUCC